UACGUAGGGGGCUAGCGUUGUCCGGAAUCAUUGGGCGUAAAGAGCGUGUAGGCGGUCCGGUAAGUCCGCUGUGAAAGUCGGGGGCUCAACCCUCGAAUGCCGGUGGAUACUGUCGGGCUAGAGUGCGGAAGAGGCGAGUGGAAUUCCUGGUGUAGCGGUGAAAUGCGCAGAUAUCAGGAGGAACACCAAUUGCGAAGGCAGCUCGCUGGGACGUAACUGACGCUGGAGAACGGCGAAAGCGUGGGGAGCAAACAGG
rnacentral:rRNA from 1 species